rnacentral:tRNA from 1 species
UUUUAUAUAGUUUAAAAAACAUUACAUUUUCAUUGUAAAAAUAAAUAAUUUUAUUAUUUUAUAAAUA